rnacentral:rRNA from 1 species
UACGUAGGGUGCGAGCGUUGUCCGGAAUUAUUGGGCGUAAAGAGCUCGUAGGCGGCCUGUCGCGUCGGUUGUGAAAGCCCGGGGCUUAACCCCGGGUCUGCAGUCGAUACGGGCAGGCUAGAGUUCGGUAGGGGGAGAUCGGAAUUCCUGGUGUAGCGGUGAAAUGCGCAGAUAUCAGGAGGAACACCGGUGGCGAAGGCGGAUCUCUGGGCAUUAACUGACGCUGAGGAGCGAAAGCAUGGGGAGCGAACAGG